GCGGCAGAGCCGGAGGCCCAGCAGGACUGGGUGUCCUCUGGAGCCUGGCCCGUGCCCCACCCACCUUGGGUCUGGCUCCCUCCCUUGCUGGAGCCUCCUCGCAGGCGUUGGUGCUGGUCACGGCUGAGGGAAGGAGCACAGGAUGGAUUCUCUCUGGGUGGCCCCGCCACUCCAGGCCACACUGCAGGCCCUGGCCCUCUGGGGUCCUUAUGGUCCUUACCGGCCCCUCCAGCCUGGCUCCUGCUCAGGGAGACAGAAGCCCCAGGCCAAGCAGAGCGUGGAUCAGUGUCCCAGGCCAGUCCCAGCCUCCCUGCAUCUUAAUGUCCCCAUCUCCCACUGGGACAGCGAUGCCAGCUCGCUUAAUGACCUGCUGUGACAAGUGACUCCCCAACCUCCAACCACGGACUCGAAGCAAAGGUUUAUUUCUGGCCCAAAUUCCACGCCUCUGCUCAUCAGAGAGAUGUGGCCAAGCCGCCCCACCCAAGGCCCACGAGCUCUAACCCAGGCCACGUUCAGCCUUUGUCAUCCAAGCAGCCGUCAUUCCAUUCUGAUGCUGUCCCGAAAUCUUCUGCAAGCAGUAAUGGUGCAGAACUGUAGACAAUUCACAGAAAAGACAGAUACAUCUGGGUUUCUCAUGGCUUUAAGACCGUGCCAUUGAGCUGGGUGGUUCUGAGCUGCACAUCUGCUGUAAGCUUCAGCAAAUCACCCCAAGAGCUGACGUGUGGGUAAAUACCACGCCUGGGCCACAUGGGCCCUGCAGAAAUGUCACCUGGAUACCCGAAGACAUCACCAGAGACAGAGUGCAAACCAGGACAUCCAUAGCCUGGAACUGCCAUGUUGAAAAUAUACUGUUUCUAUGCCAGUAAGUCGGAACGUGUAGCCCCAGAUGAGGGGCUCUACAAGACUGUCCAAGGGUUCCACAGCUCUGGGGCACACCAUCAGCUCGGGCGGUCUAGUUACUUGGCGAGGUCUUGGCUCCGAGGACCUUGCUUUAGGGUCCCUUCCAAUUGUCCUGGUUGUCCUCUUAGUUACAUCAGUGACCCCCUGCAUGUUGGAUUCUUUCAAGAGUCAUAAAUGCUUGUCAGCAGCCAUGAACUUGCAGAUGAUCUUCAUGAACAUUUCUCUGAAUCACUGAAAGGACCUGCUGAGCUUCUAGUCUGUGAGCUGGGAUGUCUGUGGAAAAGAAACAGAGCUGACCAAGUCAUGCUGCAUAGCUUGGUCACAUUCUCAGUUCAGUUGAGGGGAUAACCACUAGAUACAGCCCCUGGCCCCCAGCUCAGAGCCAGACGUUUCCCUGGAGUGCUGGCUCUGAUCAGAAACAAAGCACAAAGUGUGCAUUUUAGGUCCUUGUCAGCUGAUUCCGUGAAAGCAAACCGAUCAGCUGCAAACCAUCGGCCUGAACAGUGGCGUCUGCUGUAAAGGGUGAUGAUGUGGAGCAGCUGUGCCCCAGAAUCGGCCAUCGUCUCCAUUGACCUGACCAUGGGAUGGGAGAGAAGUGCCCGACUUCGCUCUCUCUCCUGUGCCAGCCAGAGAUAGUGGGGCUGAGCUACCACCUUGCUCCCCUUCGCAGCCCCUGGGCCCUGGAGGGUGGACUGGGACAACUUGGCCCUUGUCACAGUGUCCUCCCGCCACCCUGAGGCUGCUGGGGCGCUGCCCUCUGCGCCGUGCUGAUGGGAGGUGCAGCGUGGCGCCCCUCCUCCACACCGCCUGCUCCGGAUGUGGAAGAAGUGGGGACUCAGCCCCUAAAGUGGCAGAGAUCAGGGAGGGCCUGAGCCCAUUAUUAACCCCCAAGCACCCUAUCCCCAGUAAGAUGUGCCGAACACAGCUAACCCUCCUGAAGAGUCCCCAGUUUCAGCCAUUUUUUCAGAGACACAACAGCUAUCAAAUCCCUCGUGUCACCCUGAGCUCUCAUGGAACUGCCAUGAUGGCUGUGGCUGUCCUGGAUGCCCUACACCUGCUUGGACCAAUCACAGGCCUAUACGUGGACCAAUCACAGGAUUGCAGCUGUUGCUGUGUUUCCCCCCAAAUAAGACCUAACCGGAAAAUAAUCAGCCUUGAAAACUGGAGCCCAAGAAUGGCAGCCUCAAUCACCUUGCCUUACCUGCCACUACAGAGCAGCCACUGAGCAAGAGAGUAGUGAUGUGCAGUCUUCUCCAUGACACUGGCCAUCACCAUGAUGCCGACAGAUGGAAUGAGGGUUGUCUCCGGCCUGCACAAGCCUUGGAUCCUGCAUCAGCCCACAGUUCAGAUGGCUGCCAACCCCGGGCAUAGAACGGACAUCAAGGCCUUCCCUGUGUGUGACCAUAGGCUGAGCUGGCCACAUUUGUCCCAGCUGACCCCUCCUGGGGCUUGCAGAGUGCCUGUGGCUGGAGCCAGGCCUGGCCUGGGUGCUGGGUGUGCGGCUGGCUCCCCACAGACCUGGCUGGUCUGGGACAUGGAAGAGAUUACGAGCAGCUCACUGCGGUAAGGCCUGCACAGCAGCAGUGUCCACGCGCUCUCUGGACAAACUAGGGAGGCAAAGCCACUGCAGGGAGCCCUGCUCCUCUCACCUCUCGUCCAACUCCUGCUGUCCCAGGCUGUCCUGGUUUCUUCGAAGACUGAAACCCACUAGGGCAGGGGGUCAAUGUGAUGUCCAGUGCCCUGGGCCCAGGAGGUGGCAGUGACAAUGCAGGAAGUGCCCAGGGAAGGUCUAGUUGGAGAUCCAGUGUCAGGGCAGCAGGUGAGCUUGGUGUGGAGGGAGAAUGACACAGGGCAAACCAGGUCGGGCGGUGCUGUCACUUGGGACCAGUGGGGGACAGGGACCUGGGCAGGGAGGGAGCAAGGCUUCUGUCUGUGACGCUGCAGGUGUGGCCAAGCAGGGAUGCCGUGAGCCCAGGAGAGGGUGCACAAGCCCCUGCUCCUGUCCACUGUGUCCUCUGAUGUCACGUCACCCUGUCGUCCUGGGCUUGGGAGUGUGAGCUCUGCUCCAGCCAGGGCAUGGCCAGCUUCUCCUCCCCAGACAGGCUUUUGGCCGGCUUGCAAGCUUGCUGUCCCACUUGUCCUUGGGAAGGCAUGGCAGUCAGCAGCUAAUGGAGCACACAAACUCGCCAUGUCCACUGUGCACUGGAAGUCCGGGGCUGUGGGGCACAGUGAGAGAGGUGGGUGCCUUGGCCCAAGCCUCAAGAAGGCCUGAGAGCCAGGGCUUGGGAGACAAACGUUCGAGCAGCAACAGGGAUGGGUAGAGCAGAAACACAGGUAGGAGGGGCCUGGCCUGCCCCAGGGGUGUGAGUUGUAGGUUCCCGGCCGAGGCUGGGCCACAGAGGGCUGAGAGGACUUCUGCCUUUUCUCAGAGAGAGAUGCGAGCCAGAAGCAUGGUGUCUUUGCCCUCUAAUUUGAUUAUUAACAAAAUCAAAAAGAUGUAAUUCAUUGAGAUGUAGUUGUCACACCAGAUAAUCCCACGGGUUCCAGUAAACCUGCAGAGAUGCACCACUGUUUUAGAACAUAUUCCUCACCUCCAAAGGAAACCAGCACCCCUAGUUUUGAAUCCCCGGCCCCUGCCAACCCCUAAUCUACUUUCUGAGACUACUCAAUAGAUGUCCCUGUUCUGAACAUUUAAUAUGAGCAGAAUCCUAUGAUAUGGUCUUUUGUAACUGGCUUCUUCCACUUAGCCUGAUAUUGUUAAGGUCCACCCAUGUCAUAGCAAGUUUCAAUGCUCUGUCCCAUUCCAUGGCCGAAUAAUAUUCCAUUAUGUAGCUGAACUUCCUGUGUUUAUUGCCUCAUCCAGUGGGGGACGUUUGGGUGAUUUCAUCAUCCUAGCUAUUGUAAGUAGUGCUUUUGUGUGAAAAGUAUGUUUUCAUCCUGGCAUUGGAUCGGGUAGAUGAGAGACUUGAUCCCCUGACAUCAGUAGUUCCUGUUAAGAGCUCCCGUUGUGCUGCUUUGGUGAUGGAGUUAUCGCAAGCAUCGGCCCUCCAUCCAAAAACAGAGGCUCAGGGGCCCGGUGUGGUUGGAAGGUUGGGCCUUCCACUCAGGAUCAUUGCACAGCUUUUAAAAAAAUUGUCUUUACAAUAAUUCUGGAAGACCCGAACUGCAGCUUCUCCGCAUGUUAAAACUGAGUCUCAUUUUUAGAAUAAUUGUUUAGAAGUUAAAUGGAUAAUGUAUGUACAUGGGACAGAAUUCAGAGUGCAUGCAAGGUGAACGCACACCAGGAAGCUGACCCCUGCUCAGCUCAUCCCGGAUACCGAGCUCUUGGCCCUGGAUGCAGCCAUGGCUUCUGGCUUUACCCCAUCCUGCAGCUGCCAGCCCAGUGCCUCCGACCUUGUCUGGACAUGGAGUUUCCUGGACAAAUGCAUGGCUUUCAGUUAAAAUUCCAGGUGUUCUCUGAUUUACCACAGGUUAUAGCUGGACAACCUUUGCGUAUUGUCGGCUUCAAGUUGCUAUGAUGAAUACCUUGGCGUUCAGAGAGGUUCAUGAGGUAUAAUUGAAAUAUAAGGUGAAAGCUAAAUUAAAAAAAUGUAUUAGUAAAUGA